rnacentral:rRNA from 1 species
UACGUAGGGGGCAAGCGUUGUCCGGAUUUAUUGGGCGUAAAGAGCGUGUAGGCGGCCUGACAGGUCUGCUGUGAAAACUCGAGGCUCAACCUCGAGAUGUCGGGGGAAACCGUCUGGCUAGAGUCCGGAAGAGGAGAGUGGAAUUCCUGGUGUAGCGGUGAAAUGCGCAGAUAUCAGGAGGAACACCGGUGGCGAAGGCGGGUCUCUGGGCCAUAACUGACGCUGAGGAGCGAAAGCGUGGGGAGCGAACAGG